GCCAGAAUGGAGUAAUGGUUAACUCACUAGGCUCAUAAUCUAGAGAUAUUGGUUCGAAUCCAACUUCUUGGCA
rnacentral:tRNA from 1 species